rnacentral:tRNA from 1 species
GCGCCCAUAGCUCAAUGGUUAGAGCGCUCCGCUUAUAUCGGAGUGGUUGGGGGUUCGAGUCCCUCUGGGCGUACUA